GGAAAAAAAAAAAAAGUUUCAGAGACAAACCAUGUGGGCGCCUCUCCGCGCGUGUAAUUCGCUCUCGGCCACCACUUCUGCGCUUCACAGUCAUCAAUGGAAGUCCGAAGUCCGAACUAAGGAGCGAAACGAUGAGCUUCAUCAAUCUGUUGAAGAACUUUUCGAAUCAAUCUCCAAUCCAUUGUAUGAUUUCUCGGAUUUCUUCUCCGAAUCGAAGCCCUAAUUUUUUGAUUUACUAUGAUCGUCAAGCUUAAACCCUAGUUUCCGUAUAAUUUGAUUUCCAUUCUACAUCCUCCCGCCGUAUCGAUCGUGCUUUGAACUUGUUAGGGCCACGCUUUUUAUGGAUUUCUAUGAACCCCUGGUUGUAGUGCCAUUCGAUAUUCUUCUCUUUUGCUAGUGUCAAAAUCUAGGGUUUUAUUAUCGUGGCAGAUUACAUGUAUGGCUUCGGUGCUGCGAGGUGGCGGUGAUGCAAGAGAAAACCCCGGUGGGAGGGCGGAAAAUAACAAGUUCGGUACCGGAAAGCAACAAAUCGAGAGAAAAUUUGGCAAACACGUCGCCCAAAAAUCCGUACAGAUUCCAGCCGUCGCGGCCACCAAUGGCGGUGGUGAUCCGUCUCCUCCUCCUCAAAGUCCGAUCGAUGUUUUAGUCACGUCAAGGAAUUCCUUGGGUCAGAAUCGCUGCAUCGAGCCGGUUAAUGCCAGGGAGCCAGGAUAUACGAGGUUUGAGAACCGGGUUAGGAUUAGUCUGAAUUCCAGGUCGAGGUCUGGGAUUAAAGAACUCACCACAAAGCUGAAGGGUGAGCUUGAUCAGGUCAGGAGCCUCGUGAAGAAGUUUGAAGCUCAAGAGUUGCAGAUUAGUGGCUAUGGUGGUGAUGUUGGACAUAGCCAGUCACAGUUUUCAGCGAAUAAUUUGGUAGAGAAGGCUGGUAGCACAUUAAAGGUUGGUUCCGAGGUGGGUUCCGCAGACGUGCCCACUUCGAGGCUUGUUCAAAGCGUUUCGGUCGCAGGAAACUUUGGGGAAUUUGCAGAGAAAGAGAUGAGGACGCCUAAAAAUUCAAAGCAUGCUCCUGAGAAGGAGUUCCUGCCUUCGGACUGUGAUUCAAAUGGAGGUAAGAUUGGUCCAAUAAUCAAGAGUUGUAGUAAUUUGCUGGAAAAAUUGAUGAAACAUAAACAUGGUUGGGUAUUUAAUGUGCCUGUUGAUGCAAAGCGUUUGGGGCUUCAUGAUUAUCACAAGAUUAUAACAAAGCAGAUGGAUUUGGGUACCGUGAAGAUGAGACUAAAUAAGAACUGGUACAAGUCACCAAGAGAGUUUGCAGAGGAUGUGAGACUUACAUUUAGUAAUGCCAUUACUUAUAACCCAAAAGGAGAGGAUGUUCAUUUGAUGGCGGAGCAGUUGUCUAAGAUAUUCGAAGAGAAAUGGAGGAUUAUCGAGGCCAAACAAAAUGUUGGUAAGGGAUUACAAAAGGACGAUGGUUCAGUUUUACCAACACCCACUUCUAGGAAAUCUCCAGCUCUUGCGACUCCUCCGGUGGAAUCGAGAACCCUAGAGUCUACAACAAAGCCUCUGCCUGCAAAUAGGGGGAUUUUAGGUAAAUCAGAUUCAAUAACUAAACCCCCCAAUGCCAAACAGAAACACGCAAAUGUUGCCCAUCAUCCUGAUAAAAAAUCAAAAGCCAAGAAUAGCGAAAACAGAGAUAUGACUUAUGAAGAAAAACAGAAACUGAGCAUUGACCUUCAGAAUUUACCAUCAGAUAAGCUGAACAAUGUUGUCAAGAUUAUUAAGAAGAGGAACCAGGGGCUCUUCCAAAAUGACGAUGAAAUUGAGUUGGAUAUUGGUAGCGUUGAUUCCGAAACCCUCUGGGAGCUUGAGACAUUUGUAGCAGAUUACAAAAAAAGCUUGAUCAAGAACAAGAGGAAAGCUGACGCCAAUCUUCACUCUGGAGAAAAAUCAUCUCACCACUCUACCAAGGACACUGAUCGAGCUGUGGCUAAUGCAGGAGAAGAACCUGUAGGUGGUAAUGCAGACUCUGAAGGUGAUAGUUCCUCGACAUGUGGAGAUGCAAACCAGUCUCCCUCAAGUUGAAUCGACUAAACUAAGGCAUCAUCUGAUCUAAAAGAUUGUGUUCAUCUUGCUUGCACUCUACACCAGAUAGGUUUUUUCUUAUGAAGAUGAAGAAACUAUCUGUGCAAUCUAAAAUUGAUGAGCUCAUUCCUCUGCAUCAGGAUGGUGUAGUUUGGUUGGUGGUAGCAUCAGAGCAAUCUUCCAUGCUCAUUCAGAGGAAAGAGAUCAAAAGUUUUCUUGAUAAUUCUAGAUGAUGGAAUCAGAAAUCCCAUUCAUGGUUUCCUUUGCAUUUUAUGAAUACCCACUUCCCCAUUUCUUCUCUUGACAAUUGUAACUCCAUAUUUUUGUAAAAUAAGAUCUAGGAGCUAGUACAUCCCAAUUCUCUUCCAAGUUCUACAGUCUAGGAUUGAUCUUUCCAUGUUUUUUGGUCCCAAACUUCUUUACAUCCUUGUAACAUUUAAUGUUGCAUGUAUAUAUGAAAGCAGUCUUUGACAUUUCUUUCAAAA